CACUCAAAUACUACAACAACAACAACAACAGUAUAUAAAAACCAUAAACAUAGUCAAGUCCUCUCCUCCAGAAAACUCCCAGUUUCGUUUUCUCUUUAGUUGGGCCUGUUUUUUCAGAGUAGAAAGCUUGGUCUUUGUUAAGUAAGCAGAGAUGAGCGAUCCUAAGUAUGCGUAUCCCUACCCUGCUCAAGGUUAUUAUCAAGGACCCCCAGUGAUGGCACCGCCACAAUAUGCAGCAGCUCCACCACCUAGGAGGGAUCCUGGUUUCCUUGAGGGAUGUCUAGCGGCUUUGUGUUGCUGUUGCCUUAUUGACGAGUGUUGCUGCGACCCUUCCAUUCUCUUUAUCUGCUAAUCAACCAAGAAUAAUUUCACCUCCUAUAAAUAUAUAAUUGUAGGUGUAAUGCUUGGGCGUGUUCUUAUUGGAUUACCAUGCGUGCUUAUGUUUUUACUUUUUUUUAAGCAAAACUUAUGUUUUACUUUUUAGCUCUGGCUAGUUCUUGUCUAUCUUCAUCAUUGUGGUGUAGUACUUACUUAGACUCUAUUCAUCAAUUUUAGCUUUUAGCUGGAUUGUUGGGUUGCUA